CUUUUGUACAGACUGCUGCCACACCAGCUGGCUAGGUCGCUCUGGUAAAUGAAUAAUGAUUUUAGAAGCUGAGAAGUCCCCCAAGAAACCAGAUGGAAUCUAUGGAUUCAAACCUUCAAAUCAGGUUUCCAUAUGGUUGGAAAAGUGAAGUCUCGUAAAGCAGGAGCUCACCGAAGGGUCAUGCUGCAUGUAGUUUGCAGGGAUGGAAAUCAGACCCAGAGAGGCAGCAAAAGAAGGGAGGCAGGAUAAGAUUAUUGGUAUAUUCAUGUCAGUCACAAAUCAUGAAAGCAAAUAUAUGGUAGUCUGGAGUGGGCUGUUGCUGAGCUAUAUAACAGUAAGUAGGUUAUAUGUAUCAUAAGUAUUUUUAACUUGCAUUGGGUCUGUUUG